AUACGUAGGGGGCGAGCGUUGUCCGGAAUGAUUGGGCGUAAAGGGUGCGCAGGCGGCCGUGCAAGUCAGCGGUGAAAGCCCGGGGCUCAACCCCGGAAGUGCCGUUGAUACUGCAUGGCUGGAAUGCGGUCGAGGCGGGCGGGACGGGGGGUGUAGCGGGGGAAAGCGAGGAAAUGCCACAGAACGCCGAUAGCGGAGGCAGCUCGCAAGGCCUGCAUUGACGCUCGGGCACGAAAGCGUGGGGAUCGAACAGGAUUAGAUACCCUGGUAGUCCACGCCGUAAACGAUGGGCGCUCGUCGUCGGCGGCAGACAGUCGGCGGCCAAGCGAAAGCGAUAAGCGCCCCACCUGGGGAGUACGGUCGCAAGGCUGAAACUCAAAUGAAUUGGCGGGG
rnacentral:rRNA from 1 species